AGGUCACAGGUGCAGGAAGUCACAGUAGAGACGGGGUUUCAGCCUGUUGGCCAGGCUGGUCUGAAACUCCUGACCUCAAGUGAUCCACCUGCCUCGGCCUCCGAAAGUGCUGGGAUUUCAGGGCCUCUGCCCAGGAUUUGUUCCCGAGCAUCAAGCUGCCGCCCUCACCUUUCAGAACCCAAUGUGGGAAGCAUCUCCAAGGGCACCACUGCUGCUCCCCUGCUGCUGGCUGCCCUCACCACUCACUUCUUGAGUUUGUCUCCCUCCUGAAGCAAGGCUGCGUAGGACAGCCAGAGACUAGCCAUACUCUCCCACAGCCAGGACGGAGCAGAUCUUAGAAGAUGUUCCUGCUCCCAGGCCCAAGAUGCCACCUCCCAGCCCCAUCAGGCAUCUCCAGAAUGAGACAAGGACUGAACCUCAGGAUUCAGAUCCCAAUCCCCUGCCCACCUCCCACCACCAGAUCUGAGGGAGGGCUGUGACCCUGAUGAGAGGUGUAUGUGGCUGGUGUCCACUGCUCUUGGGAGCAGGGACUGGAGGAGAUACCCUUGCCUGUGGGAACAGCAGGGAAGAUCAAACGUUUCUCCCUGGGUUGGCAAGGAGGCUGGCACUGAUCCAGCUGGGAGGACAGGGGCAAGUGGCAGAAACACAAUGAGCCCCAUCCCUCACACAAGGUGGGGCCUGACUCGCUUGCAACCAAUACAGAGAAAGCAACGUCCUUGGUGUUGGGAUGGAAUGUAGGUCCCUCCACUCUCAGUGGCUCCUGCCCCAGCAGAACAGCUCCAGGGUGGGCAGCUCUGGGCCCCCAGGUCUUGGUGGAUACAUCUUACAUGAGAAGUCCCCAGCAGAGGGUUUCAUAGAGACAGAGCUGAGCUCAAACCCCAUGGGAAACUCUGGAAUCUCUCACACACUCUAGCCCAGGUACAAAAUCCAAGCAGAGAGGCAAUUGUUUUAUGUUUAAUUUACAAAAGAGACCCCAAAAUAAUAAUAAUAAACUAUC